GAGCAGAAGAAGUUCACUUCACGCACUGGUUUGGGGCAGUUGUUGAACGCGAGGCAGACGGAGUUGUGCGGGAAGAAGUCGCUUAUUUUGCGGUUGCUCAGCCUCUAAUACCCAACAGGCGAGGCGAAUCCAUUUAAAUUGCACCCUCGCGUGUGUGUGUGUGCGCGCGGACCUUUACGAACAGGUAGGCUCUAUCGAAGAUAUAAACUGUUGAGAGGAAGGCUGCUAGGCCUCGCAGGCUAAUCGCCAUGAGUUACGGUAGGCCUCCGCCAGACGUCGACGGCAUGACUUCCCUAAAAGUGGACAACUUAACGUACCGAACGUCGCCAGAAACCCUCCGACGGGUGUUCGAGAAGUACGGCCGGGUAGGGGACGUCUACAUCCCCCGAGACCGCUACACGAAAGAAAGCCGCGGAUUCGCGUUUGUGCGUUUCCACGACAAACGUGACGCCGAGGACGCGAUGGACGCCAUGGACGGCGCGCUUCUUGAUGGACGGGAGCUGCGUGUCCAGAUGGCCCGGUAUGGCAGACCCCCUGAUUCCCACUACGGGGGCAGCGGCGGCGGCGGAGGUGGUGGUGGCGGCGGCGGAGGAGGAGGAGGAGGCGGCGGCGGCGGCGGCGGUGGUGGUGGAGGAGGAGGCCGACGAGGAGGAGGAGGAGGUCCGACCAGGAGGUAUGGCGGCCAUGGACGUCGAAGCAGAAGCUCUUCUCCCAGCCCGAGACACAAGAGACGCAGCCGUUCCCGCAGCAGGAGCCGCUCUCGCUCCCGAAGCCGAUCCCGCUACAGCAGAUCCAGGUCCCGCUCCUACUCCCGAUCCAAGUCUCACUCUCCCAGGAACAAGAAGGCCAAGGCCAAGUCCCCAUCUCGUUCAAGGUCAAGGUCCCGGUCCAAGUCUAAAUCCAAGUCCAAGUCUAAAUCCAAAUCCAAGUCUAAAUCCAAAUCCAAGUCCAAAUCCAAGUCCAAGUCUAAGUCUAAGUCCAAGUCUAGGUCCAGGUCCAGAAGCCGCACCCCCUCCAGAGGGUCCCGGUCGAGAUCUAAAAGCCAGCCCAAGUCUGCAGCAGAAAAUGGAGGCGAAUCUCCUUAGCGCUCAGCAUCAGCUGCGGCAUCCUGUUUGCUAAAGUGGAGUUUGAGCUGAGCUGAGGCAGUAUGAGCAGUUAGAAGGUGUGUGGUGAGCUGCCCAGGGGCCGCCUGCUGCUGCUGGUGAGGGUUUCUGUGCAGCAGGGUGGUGGAGGCAGUCAGAGUUGGGGUUUGGUGUUGAGGUACGUCCAUCUGUGUCCGCCACCGGACAUAAAACUGUCCUCCAGGUCUCGUCCCCAGCCGGGGGGCGCUGGUGCUUGAGGGGCGCCGAGUUUUCAGGUGACGACUGAACGCUUCAAGUCCCCGACUGGAUCCAACCCAAGCAACAGUGUCCUGCUGUAAAAGGUUAUUAUUGUGUCUUCCAUGCUUUGCUUUGUUUGUUUUAUUCAUUUGGCCAUAAAAAAAAAAGGCUUUGUCACUUCAUCGAUGUGCUGUGAUUUUUGAUUUUAUUUUCGUAAUGAUUUUAAAAAUCUGGUUCAAUGUGGAGAGGAACUACUGUAAUGACAGGAUAUUAAACACGUUAGGUUUGUGCCUCUGCUUCACGUUCUUCCCCCCGCGGGCCCGUAUCACGAAGCGAGAACGCAGCGCGGCUUCCUUUGACUUUCCUGCUUUUGUUCAACUUCAAGAAAAUUUGGUCCCCAAAUGACUCGAUCCUGCGUUUCCGUCACAAAUACAACUUCAGAUCAGAAGUGGUCCGUUGAUUACACGCUUUGUUUAUUAGAGGUAAAAGAUGCUCAAGAAUCCUGAUGGAAUUACACUGAAGUGUCAACAUUUCUAGAGCCGCAACGGACUUUUAUUUUCAUUAUCGAUUAAUCUGUCGGACAUUUUCUCAAUUUAACUCUUUAGUCUACAAAGUUUUUGCUCACAAACAAUUUUCCAAAUGUUCUUUUGAUCAAUACAUUUCACUGAGGUUUCGUUCAUGCGUCUUGUUUGCAAGUCGAGAUCCUGUAGAAAUGUAUUUUAGUUGACGGCGAGCCGGCUGAUGUGACAACCCGUUCCCCUCGCUUCAUGCCACGGGCCCGUGGUGUCGGCACACGUUCUUGUUCCAAGAUAAAACGACAAAAUCCACACCAACCUUUAAAAUUAAUUUUUUUCUUUUCAUUUCGGUGCAAACAAUUCAUUAAACUGAAGUAAUCCCUAAAAACAAAACCAGUUCCUUAGGAUCUUUAAUUUCUGCAGCUCAGGGCGUCUUUGUGAGACAGGACAGCAGACCAUUUUAACUCCUGUGAUAAAUGUGUUCCAUGUAAUUGCAUAAAUAGUAAACAGUGACCGGGGUUGAUGCAUCAGUUUGAAGAUUGUUUCACAGAUUUUAAGGUCCUUAAAUCUUUUGUUGCCGGGGCCUCAUUUACAGGACUCCAGACAUGUCUUUGUGGUUCUUUCUUUUCUUUUUUAAAUUUUUUGAUCCUAAUUCUGCUUGUAUGUUUGUUUUGUGCACUAGGCGCAGUUGUGUAGCAGUUGAGUAUUGCUGGUUAGCUGUUAAGGUGGCGUGUUGCUCUGCUGAGUGCUUGGAUGUAUCCAGUAUUCUCCAGAGUGCUCCUGAGACUACCAGUCGUGCUGUGCUGCAGUCUCACCUUUUGUAAGAGGAAAUGCUUUUUUUUUCCCACAUGGUCAUGGAUGAUAAAUGUGACUUUCAUUAAAGAUUUGGUGUUUUGUCUAAAAA